AGUGAACGCUGGCGGUAGGCCUAACACAUGCAAGUCGAAGGGCAGCACAUUAAGACCUUACUCUAACGAGUGCCGAGUGGCGGACAGGUGGGGAAUACAUUGGAAUCUGCUUUUUCGUGGGGGGUGACGACUGGAAACUAACGCUAAUACUGCAUAGGACCUGCGGGUCAAUGCAGUGAAACUUCGCACCUUGCGCGAUUGAAUGAGCCGAUGUCGGAUUAGGUAGUGGGCGGGGUAAAGGCCGACCAAGGGGACGAUCCGUAGCUGUUCUGGGAGGAUGAUCAGGCAGACUGGAACUGAGACACGGUCCAGACUGCUACGGGAGGCAGCAGUGGGGAAUAUUGGACAAUGGGCGCAAGCCUGAUCCAGACAUACCGCGUGGGUGAAGAAGGCAUUCGGGUUGUAAAGACAUUUUGUUGGGAAAGAAAAGCAGCAGGUUAAUACCCCGCUGUUCUGACGGUACCCAAAGAAUAAGCAACGGCUAAAUUCGUG
rnacentral:rRNA from 1 species